rnacentral:lncRNA from 1 species
AUGGAGACCAGGGAUCACCUCUUCUUUUCUUAUCCAUUCACCAUGUCAUUGAGACAGCAAACACUGCUUUGGAUUGGUGUAACUCAACCUAGCCUUCAAAGCUGGGAUCAAUACAUACAAUGGAUCAUAACCAUGGCUAAAGGCAGGACUACUCGAGCUCAUAGUAUCAAAAUGAUCAUGGCAGAAUUGUGUUAUAACAUUUGGUUAGAGAGGAAUUCAAGGUUGUUUAGGAAUGUGUCAAGCUCAUAUGGAC